rnacentral:rRNA from 1 species
AACGAACGCUGGCGGCAUGCCUAAUACAUGCAAGUCGAACGAUCACUUCGGUGGUAGUGGCGCACGGGUGCGUAACGCGUGGGAAUCUACCCUUGGGUUCGGAAUAACAGUUAGAAAUGACUGCUAAUACCGGAUGAUGACGAAAGUCCAAAGAUUUAUCGCCCAAGGAUGAGCCCGCGUAGGAUUAGCUAGUUGGUGAGGUAAAAGCUCACCAAGGCGACGAUCCUUAGCUGGUCUGAGAGGAUGAUCAGCCACACUGGGACUGAGACACGGCCCAGACUCCUACGGGAGGCAGCAGUAGGGAAUAUUGGACAAUGGGGGCAACCCUGAUCCAGCAAUGCCGCGUGAGUGAUGAAGGCCUUAGGGUUGUAAAGCUCUUUUACCCGAGAUGAUAAUGACAGUAUCGGGAGAAUAAGCUCCGGCUAACUCCGUGCCAGCCGCCGCCGUAA